UACGUAGGUGGCAAGCGUUGUCCGGAAUUAUUGGGCGUAAAGCGCGCGCAGGUGGUUUCUUAAGUCUGAUGUGAAAGCCCACGGCUCAACCGUGGAGGGUCAUUGGAAACUGGGGAACUUGAGUGCAGAAGAGGAAAGUGGAAUUCCACGUGUAGCGGUGAAAUGCGUAGAGAUGUGGAGGAACACCAGUGGCGAAGGCGACUUUCUGGUCUGUAACUGACACUGAGGCGCGAAAAGCGUGGGGGAGCGAACAGGG
rnacentral:rRNA from 1 species